GCCGGGCACAGUGGCAUGUGCCUGUAGUCCCAGCUACUCAGGAGGCUGAGGCCAGAGGAUUGCUUGAGACCAGGAGUUCUGGGCUGUAGUGCGCUAUGCCAAUCAGGUGUCUGCACUAAGUUCGGCAUCAGUAUGGUGACCUCCUGGGAGCAGGGGACUACCAGGUUGCCUAAGGAAGGGUGAACCGGCCCAGAUUGGAAACGGAACAUGUCAAAACUCCCGUGCUGAUCAGUAGUGGGAUCGCGCCUGUGAACAGCCCCUGCACUCCAGCCUGGGCAACCUAGCGAGACACCCCCGACUCUA
ensembl:misc_RNA Metazoa_SRP Metazoan signal recognition particle RNA